rnacentral:lncRNA from 1 species
AAACGACAUAAAGCUGAUAAUGCAGUGAACAAGAAACAAACGCAAGUUUUGAGAAAUGGUGCUUGGGAAAUUGUCCACUGGGAAAAGUGAGCCCCAAGCCAUGUGCUACAUUGAAACAUCCAACUUAGAUGGUGAAACAAACUUGAAAAUUAGACAGGGCUUACCAGCAACAUCAGAUAUCAAAGACGUUGACAGUUUGAUGAGGAUUUCUGGCAGAAUUGAGUGUGAAAGUCCAAACAGACAUCUCUACGAUUUUGUUGGAAACAUAAGGCUUGAUGGACAUGGCACCGUUCCACUGGGAGCAGAUCAGAUUCUUCUUCGAGGAG